GCCGCAAUAGCUCAGUCGGUAGAGCAUUUCAUUCGUAACGAAAAGGUCAUCAGUUCGAGUCUGAUUUGCGGCU
rnacentral:tRNA from 1 species